AGUGAACGCUGGCGGUAGGCCUAACACAUGCAAGUCGAACGGCAGCACAGUAAGAGCUUGCUCUUACGGGUGGCGAGUGGCGGACGGGUGAGGAAUACAUCGGAAUCUACUUUUUCGUGGGGGAUAACGUAGGGAAACUUACGCUAAUACCGCAUACGACCUACGGGUGAAAGCAGGGGAUCUUCGGACCUUGCGCGAUUGAAUGAGCCGAUGUCGGAUUAGCUAGUUGGCGGGGUAAAGGCCCACCAAGGCGACGAUCCGUAGCUGGUCUGAGAGGAUGAUCAGCCACACUGGGACUGAGACACGGUCCAGACUACUACGGGAGGCAGCAGUGGGGAAUAUUGGACAAUGGGCGCAAGCCAGAUCCAGCCAUACCGCGUGGGUGAAGAAGGCCUUCGGGUUGUAAAGCCCUUUUGUUGGGAAAGAAAAGCAGCAGGUUAAUACCCCGCUGUUCUGACGGUACCCAAAGAAUAAGCACCGGCUAACUUCGUG
rnacentral:rRNA from 1 species